GCAGGCAGCACGGCCGCCACUGACACCGGAGGCGCUGGCCUCGGCCCGGGCUCCGCUUCGGAAUUGAGGCCUUCGCCGAGGCCGGUCGCUGGCGACGCCAUUGUGGGAAUGUCACCGUCCUGAGGCAAAGAAAGACAUAUUAGUCUCCGGUGUGUCAUAUUCGGGGACAGCCAGGUAAACUAACUAUACAAUCAUUGUUUCAUUUUUUAAAAUGACUUAUGAAAAUAGUGCUUGUAUCCAACAAUGAAUGAGAGGUGUCUUUUAAAGUAGUCCAUUAUUUUUUUCCUUACACAAUUGUUUAUUCAUUCUUUCUUCAACACUAUGAACUAUUGAUGUUUUGAAAGACCAAGGUACAAUUACAGCUUUGACAGAGCUUCCUGGUUUUCUUGUAAACAUUACCCAUUUUGUGUUGGACUAAAGGUUUCUCAGAUUGCUUAUCCAGCUUUUGACUUGGACCAGUUGGACCUCCACUAAUGAACAUGUUUCUUGAUAUAUCCGUAGUGACUAUCCGAGCACACAUCUGCACUGAGCUUUGAAUGCACUUUGGUGCAUCUUCAAAACUGGUGGUUAGACAACAAAUUUCCACAACAGUGAAAAAGAAAACCCUUAACAUGCAUCAGUGCUCUAGUUUCUAUAAUCAUCAGCCAAGCCUUAAACUGGCUCCACAAUUUCCCGUGUAAUCAUAUGCACAGUGAAACCUCUUUCUUCAAAUUUGAAAUUGUAUUAAAUUAUCAGUGUAGAUGAGGCCUAAGUCAUGGCAUACAGUGCUGCUGCUUCUACGAGAUAACCUUGUAUAUAAGCUCGUACACAACCAUAGGAGCUAGCUGCAUGACUAGUUACAUAUAUGAAGUAUAUCACAUCAAACCAAAUGAAACUUUGGAGAGCUAUGUAUGAUACAGCUAUAAAAAAAUCUCACAGAACUUAGAGCACUUCCAGGUAAAUUGACCUUCAAAUAGCAGUAACAAUAUAGUCCUAUCCUUAGCAUACAAUCCUGUGGUGUUAUUUUGCCAUAAACAGGGCUGAGUUCAAGUGGAUUUCAGAAACCUUUAGCAUGCAGUUUACAAAAACUUUAAGAUUUUGUUAGAGGUCUGCAGACAGUAUAAUUUAUAAUCAGCAUGUGGUUGAUUACUAAAAAGUCUCUUCAUGCUGGAAACUAUUAUGAAAAUUGUGUAGAUGUGUGUUUGUUUACUUCAGUUAAUGAGUAACCUUGAUAGAGCUUAGUAAAUGUUUGUCACUAUGAAAUCUCUUCAAAAGCAAGAGUCAUGAUUGUGCUUUGCAAGGCCUGUGACAAAAUAUUUCAGUUUCAUUUGAGAAGCAGGGAAAAGAUAUUUCUUCCACUGGCAUAUUUUGUAUGUGGUAUUGUCUCAUGCUGCUAGCCUCAAAUCUUUAUAGCUAAAGGGCAACCAGGGACACCCUAUUCUGAACGCGGCGGGGGGGGGGGGGGAGUAUCCUUUCCCAAAUGCAGCCCAUUCUGGUUACUGUGCAUGUAACCUGGCAAGGAUUCAAGCAAGUUAAUUUCCUCUCGUCCUUUGACUUUAAAUCUUUUUUAAAAGGAGGGGAUAUUCAACUAAAACAUACAGUCUGUCUCAGCUGUUCUCAGUCAUAGAUUUUUAUGGUAGACUCAAUCAAUUUGUCCAAGUCUCAGACUUAACCUGUUCUGACUUGUGGGGUUUUACUGUAUUUCUGUGAACAUUUUAAAAUAUUUCACUAGGUAAUAAAUAUAUGAUUUCUUAGUGAGGUGAGUGUGUGCAAAGUGUAUAUUUAGGAACGGGUGAAGAGGACAAUGACUGCCUGAAAAUCAUUGCUUGGUUGUCUUUUCUAGUCAGUGCCUAACACAUAUAUGGGCAAGCACUGAGGUUGAUAAUUAUCCUCCUAAUCCUAGUGUCUGCAGUGAAAAAAAGCUUUUAUUCCAUCAAAUUUAGUAGGAAUCACUGAGAACCUGCAUCUUGCAUGCAUCCCAUCAAUUUCUACUGAUGGAUAUGUGUAGGAAUUUGCAAUUAGAACAACGUAAUCUGUGGUAUAUAUCUGCAGUUGAUUUAGAUUAUUCCUAAAUCCUGGUUCUCUGUCUCAGUGAGGUGGGGUGAAUUUGACCUCGGGGGAAAGACAAGUAAAUUGAGGAAAAGUAACUCAAUUCAGCAAGGCAUUCAACUGAAAGCACAUUAGGACCAGAAGAAUCUGGUGUGUGUGUGUGUGUGUAAAGAUAAACAGUAAGAACCCCCCCCCCCCAAAGUUCUAAAAAUAUGACUAUAAUAUGAUUGUAAAAAAGUAUGAUAGUGAUAGUUUCCAUGCUUGUAUACCUCCCUGAUACAAGACAACACGCUGGUGGGGUAAAGUUCUACAACACGUUUUUCUAAGGCAAUACUUCUUAAAAUGGUCUAGUGAGGAGCAGAGAAAAUUCAGUCUUAUUUCUUCCCAGUGCUUGAGACAGUGCUGUGUAGUGGUUUGGGUGUUGGGGUUAGAAGUCUUGGCUUGAAUCCACGUUCAGAAACUUCCCCAGUUGGCCUUGAGUAAGAUGUAGUCAAGGCCAUCAAGAGCUCCAGGCAAAACAAAAAAUAAAAACAAAAAAACUAUUGUUAACCCUAAUAUGAGUUUUUUAAAAAAUGAGGUCCCUGCACCCAUUCUAAACACUGAGACAUCCUAGUAGAACAAUAUUCUUCUGAGAUAAGGGGGUCACUGUGCCAACAAAGCCCAUGCCAGGCAGAUCUUAACCCAGCCUUGGAUAAUACUGUGCAUUAAGUGAUCUUUUCACAGGAACAGGCUAGUGGUACAUAUCUUACAUAUUCCACUGGCCCAGUUUAAGAAACCAAUUCUAAUUUAAGGAAUAUGUAUAAAAAACAUAUAGAUCCUUGAAUGGAAAACAGCCCAGAGGGAAAUUUGUAAUAUUCCCAUUAUAGCCAAUAAUAUGUUAUUUCAUUCCCUUGCAUUUCUUGUUAAAUUUACAGCAUCUCUUACUUGCCCUCAGAGCAUUCAUAAUCCCGUCAAAGCGCCCAUGCAUCUCAUGUUCUGGGAUUGGAGGAGCGGAAGGAAGUAAAGAAAGGAAUGUACUUGGUCUGCCAAAAAGUCAGAGAAGAGAUUCUAUUGUAGAAAAGGUUAACAGACAAUGCACAUUUUGUUUGAUUUGCCAUCAGUACAUUAAUAAUUACACCAGAUCUCACUGACUAGAGUAGAAUCUGGCUAGCAGCAGAGAGACACCUUGUAUGGAAGAAAAGGCUAACGACCUUGUAAAACUACAACUCCCAAAUGGUGUCAAGAUGCAUUCUACAGUGUAGGCAAACCUUUGGAUUGCCUUUAGGGAGUAUUUCUAGGGAGAAAGUAACUUUUUCCACCCCAAAGCAAGAAUUGCUUUCCCCACUUCCCCUACAGCACAGUUAAUUUCCCUUUUCAUCCUCAACCAAUUGCAUCAAGAUUAAUAGAAUGGCAUAGCAAUCUUCAUCAUAAGGUUUUUAAGGUAAAAAACAUUCUGGAGUAUUUCCCCAUUGCCCUCUUCUGCACCAUACUGUUAUGGAGCUACAAUACCCCCCCCCCCCCCAAAGAUUUGUAGUUCACCUAGAGCUCAGAAAUAAAUAUAUUAUUAUUUUCCUUUAAAAACAAAACUUUCAGGACUUGCACAAGUUCAAAGCAUCAGAAGAUCUACAUUGUAUCUAUUUUUCAUGACCUUCUGUAUAACUUUCUGUGUACUGUAUCUAUUUCUUAUAUAUAAAAUGUAUAAACUUCCUUACCAAAAUAUAAACAGAUAAGCCCAGACAGUCACCUCUUCCUAACACUGCUGAGGAAUUUCCUGAAAAUAAGAAAUUUGGUAAACACUUCUGGCUGUUCCCCAGACAGGCAAUCACCAUGUACGUAUAUGCAAAGAUAGGCGACUUCCCUGUCAGCCCAGAUAAACCCAAACCUGUUUGUUUAGUUAUAUGGUUUACUUGAAGCUGAGAAAUUGCUGCCUGCAGAAACAGACUCUUAGAGUAUGUGCAUUUGUUAAACCUCUUUUAUUGACAGCCAAGCCCUUGAUUACCCAAAAUCAACACCUUGAGUCUUGCACCUUUGUUUCCUAAGAUCCAUACCUUUGUUUGGCAUGGAACUGGACAUCAACAUCAAAAGCCCAUCAACAUACCUUUAUCAAUUCUUUUCCCUGCACUGUACCCUCCCAUGAGACAUCUCUGCAGUUGAUUGGUCCUUCACUCUGACCAAUCCCUGGCUGCCAUUCUCCCUCCUAUAAGAUGUCUUGUAUUUCUCUCUGUGUUUAUGCUUGUACAUUUUGAAGAAAAUUGCUGUACUUGCAUUGUUUUUGCCAAAUCGUAUUAAACCUCUAUGGCUUGUCUUCAA